AACAAGACUCUCAGUUAACAUUGUACCAGCAAAAUUAGCAGCACACAUGGGAGGAGGAGCUUGAUCACUGGAAUCCCCUAACUUGGUCUGUUGCAACAGAUUCAUCAAUUGAUCAUAGUGAUGUCUGCUCAACCCUGGUAUCACUGAACUGUGACCAUCUAUGUGGCCGGCAUAAGGAUCCCCAAGAGGAACAGACAAAUUAGGAUUCACAUGAUUAACAGACACACAUUCAACACUAGUGGAGAUAUGAGCAGCUGCAGAUUUCCUUCCCUUGUUGUAAUUUAUGCUUUGAGUGAACCCAUGUAUCUUGUAGCACUUAUCAAUUAAGUGCCCAGAUUUCUUGCAGUAUCUGCAAAAUAGGGGCCCUCUGCUUUGCUCAAAAUUAAUUCUGGGUCUUAAAAUAGGAGGUCGAGGCACUGUGGCCUGAUUAAACCCAACUGAGUGCUUGUUUGUAUGAGCAUUAAAAGACAUAGAAUCUGGACUGAUAUGAGAAAUAGAUUGAACUUGUCUUUGUUUCUCAUCAUUAAGCACUAUGUUCUUCCCUUGUUGUAAUUUAUCCUUUGAGGGAACCCAUGUAUCUUGUAGCGCUUAUCAAUUAAGUACCCAGACUUCUUGCAGUAUCUGCAAAAUAGGGGCCCUCUGCUUUGCUCAAAAUUAAUUCUGGGUCUUAAAAUAGGAGGUCGAGGCACUGUGGCCUGAUUAAACCCAACUGAGUGCUUGUUUGUAUGAGCAUUAAAAGACAUAGAAUCUGGACUGAUAUGAGAAAUAGAUUGAACUUGUCUUUGUUUCUCAUCAUUAAGCACUAUGUUGUAAACACUGUCAAGGGAAGGAAAUGGCUGCAUCAUUUGCUCAAAAUUAAUUCUGGGUCUUAAAAUAGGAGGUCGAGGCACUGCGGCCUGAUUAAACCCAACUGAGUUCUUGUUUGUAUGAGCAUUAAAAGACAUAGAAUAUGGACUGAUAUGAGAAAUAGAUUGAACUUGUCUUUGUUGCUCAUCAUUAAGCACUAUGUUGUAAGCACUGUCAAGGGAAGGAAAUGGCUGCAUCAUCAACAAAUUACUCCUAACCCCCAUAUAUACUUCAUUUAACCCCAUAAGGAACUGAAAAACCUUGUUUUCAUCAUCUUCCUCAAUUAUUCCAGUUUUAACAGCACACACACAUCUCUGCCCAUGAUUUGUGCACAUUGUGCCCAAUUCAUCCCAUAAGGCUACAUCUAAGAAGCCUUGAGAUGUGUGAGAAAGUUCCCUUUUUAAUUCAAAGAUUUUGGUCUUGUUAGGGGUACCAUAUCUUUUCUCAAUUUGGGACCAUAUACUCUGUGCAGUAUCGGAAUACUGCAAAAUAUUGGUCUUGUUAGGGGUACCAUAUCUUUUCUCAAUCUGGGAGCAUAUGCUCUGUGCAGUAUCGGAGUACUGCACACUAUCAACAAUUUGAGGAGACAAGGAGGAGGUCAACCAGGAAAUGACCAUGUUAUUACACCUAUUCCAUAGUCUCUGUUAAGCCACAUUAUUGGUAGGACGGGGACAUGAACCGUCAAUAAAUCCGAUUUUAUUUUUAGCAUAUAAAGCAACAAUCAUCUUACGCCUCCAGCACCCAUAACCACUACCCGAGAAGGGAGUGGGAACAAGAGAUACCCCAGGAACAUCUGAGGAAUAUACAAAAAGGGGACUGGAAGAGUCUACAGAAGAGGAGGCACCAGUAUUUGUGUUANNNNNNNNNNNNNNNNNNNNNNNNNNNNNNNNNNNNNNNNNNNNNNNNNNNNNNGGAAGAGUUUAUAGAAGAGGAGUAUCCAGUAUUUGUGUUAGAAGCCAUAGUCAAUGAACCGGCUUAAAAGAACAGUUUUUCAACAAACAGAGUAUAACCAAAUCAGGUAUUCACACACAACAACCAACAAACAGAGUAUAACCAAAUCAGGUAUUUACACACAACACCAGAUACUCACAUACGGAGAGUCAGAAAAUCACAUACAAUACCGAAGAUAAGGACAAAGUUACCCUCCUUCUUCGCGACCGGAGAAGUUCGGUCUUCAAACAACAGAGAAAACCCUAGGUACAAAACCCUAGGUGUAACCUUCGAAAUCCUUACUGGAAAUGUGGUCAGGAAUGUCGGAAAGGCACCCAAAACAUCCAAUGGGUGAGAAUUGAGCCACCGGAUAGCAGUAGAACCCUAGGUUAAACCACCAGAAACCCUAGAAGCCGAUAGGUCACCGAGAAACCACCCAAAAAUCAGCAGAAAAUCUCUCAGAAUGUUCUGGUGGAGUAAAUACAUUCAGAUAUCAUGAUGAAAAACUCGGAAAAGCAUCCGAUCUAAGUCAGAAUCAUCAUCGACCAUAAGGUCUCAGGAAAAUCCCCAAAAAUCUCAAAAAGGAGUUCAACCAAGACAACGAAAUGUAGAGAAAUAUAGUCGGAUCGUCGUCUAGGCUGUGAUACCAUGUAAACAUUCAGAUUAAACCAAAAAAUCAUAAAGAAUGUAGAGAGAGAAACUAGAGAGAAGGAGGAGCGUUUCAGAGAAGGGUCUGGAAUCCAGAGAGUUUUAUUAAGUGAAAUCAAAAUGAAAUGAAAUCUGUUACUCAAAAUAUCUGGAGUACAACUAUAUAUACAAGUGCCAUUGGGUCGGGUCAGGCGACCCAAUGAAGGUAAUGAAAAUGGGGCUCAGAUAUAAAAUUGGGCUCGGUACACAUUUGGCCCAAACAACAAGCAAUCAUCACAGCCCAAGUAUUGUAUACCAGAUGAUACAAUAAAUAUACAGUAUAUAUACAGCAUAUAUAAUUAUAUAAUCUCCUUUAUCUCAACAAUCUACAAAUUAAACGAAUAUGAUAAAGAUAAACGGGAUAUGUUUAGGGGAUAAGAUGCAGAGAUUAAAUCAAUUUCGGAUAAGCACAAAUUGCUUCCAACUAGGAUUCUUUUACCUUCUUUGACUUGUUAGAAAAUAUGUUUAAACUUUUCCUCCAAGAUAAGAUUGAAUCUUAAAAGGAAAACAUUUAAUAAUAUUUAACAUACAUUCUCAAUCUCUAAUAAUUGCAAAUUUGCUGAUUUACUCGCUGUAAUCAUUACGAUAUAUGAUUCUUAAAUUUAAAAAUGAACUAUUCCAUAUAUUACACAGCUAUAUACGAAUUUAAUUAUAUUGCAAAGGUAACAGUUUAUUCGCAUUCUGUGUUUACCAAUUCAUACUAAUUAACUAUGAUGUCAUAAUUUAAAUGAGAAUAUAUAUUAAUUAAAUGUGAUUAGUGAUAAGAGUGGAUGUAAAGGCACAUGCUAUUACUUGUUAAAUUAGUAUAAAUAUUAGGUGCGACAUAAUUUUUUUGCAUAAACUAAUCUUGUGUAAUUAAUAGCUAGAAUAAUUAGGUCUAGGAAUUUCACUAUCCAAGAUACAUGUACGUAGAUGAGACACUUGUUUGAUACGAGAUUCACUUAUUCAAAAUUUAAUGUGAUAAGAAAUUAUUUACUCAUAAAACGAUACAGUUGAAUUUAUAUGUAGUUUAUAGAUAAGUAAAUUAAUUUUAUCCUAAAAUAGCAGAUGAAUUAUACAGAAAUAUAAGACUUAGCCUUGAAAUUGACAUAAAUGACAGAUAUCUUAGUUCCGGGUGCAGAGCUACCAAAGUCAGUAAGAGCAGUGCAAAUAAGCAAGAAAAGUAAAUUAUUAUUGAGCUUUUGGUAGAAUAUAGCGUAUGCUUCUUGGAAAAUUCGUGUCUUUACAAUGAUGGUAAAAUUCACUUUUGAUACCAAAUUUUUUCCUAUAUAUUUUAAAUAUGCAUAAACAUCUUCAAAUAGCAUAUAUAUAUAUAUAUAUAUAUAUAAAAAGUUUUUCAACAAACAGAGUAUAACCAAAUCAGGUAUUCACACACAACA
rnacentral:lncRNA from 1 species